UUGAAACAGCAUUUUUUUUUUUUUAAGAAUGUGAAUUCUGAGUAUAAAUUACGGAUUGCACUGAGAAAUGCAGGAAAAGCGUAACUACAUGCAGCUGCUGGAUAGAGAUGUCAUAAACAGGUCCAGUAAAUAGCAAGAUGGUGGACAGAGCGUGAAGCGAUUGUUCACAAGGCAAUAAAGUCAGCAAAAUACCGUCUGAGACUUAACUGAGGGGACUGGCCUUUGUAGGAGGGCAACUUCAGCUCCUUGUAGCGAAGAGCUUGGUGAAUGUCAGCGGCCAGCUGUCCUCGCCACCACUGCCCCUCCAGCUCCAUGGGACCUAGCGGCGUGCCCAGCAGGGCGCGGCAACUCACAGCCGGAAGCCGGAAGAGUCCGGGACCUCGGCCGUCACAGCCCCCGCCCCGCCAAGCGGGGGACACCGGCCAGGCUCCUGCUGCAGACAGUAGCUGCUAAAAGCCAGCCUCAGUUCGUGCCACCCAUUGUUAAAGGACCGGCAGGCAGCUCUCUACAUUAUGUCUCAGGACUUGACGGUUGGAGCCAUCACCAUAAGGAGAAGGCCAAGAGAACCUCAGAUGUGUGACACCAGGACCAUAAUAUUACUGAAUAGUUGAAUAUCACUGAAUCCUCCAACCUCCAGAUUUUUAGAUUAUUUCCGUCUGCUGGUUUAUAUUCAUGAGUGACCAGAAAAUGGAAAGAAGAUCUGAAAAAAAGUUAUGAGAAUUUGUGGGUAUGCCUUAUUUGUUAAUAUAAAUAUUAAAAACUGGUUUGAUUGGAUGAAUUUAGUUUUGUGUUUUGUGUUAUUUAAAGACCAUUAAUAUUAUUUCCUAAUACUUUAUAGAUGUGCAAAAAGUACCUAAUGUAGGAGUAAAGUUUACAAACCAGUAGGUAAAUUUAUUCAGCUAGUAUUUAUUGAGUGCCUCCUAUGCAUCAGGUACUCAUCAAGCACUGGGAAUUUGUCAGUAAACAAAACAGGAAAACAAGCAACCAUCCUUAUUCACACAAAGUUUACAUUCUAGCUAUUAAGAACGAAUCAGUCAGUUAUCAGCUAUUGACCUCUGAUAAUGUGCCAAGCUCUGUGUGAGGUAUUAGGGAUGAGAGAAACUCAAGAUUGGUCCCUUCCUUCAAAAGUGACAAAACACAGGCCUAAUCUGCUAAUUUGCUUAUUACUAUUAGCUAUUUAAGCCAGUGUGCUCAAAGAAUUUAUUUACAUGUCCCAAACUCUGAAAUAUUUUGUCAUGGCUUGUGUUUUGAAGUGAGAUCCAGUUUGGUGUAGGGCAGAUAUAAUUGGUACUGUCCAAACUUUCACAUUAUUUCAAUACCACAAUUCUCCACAUAAUAUAUUAAAUCUCUUAUUAAAAUGUACUCAUUAGAGUAGGUAUCAGCCACCUUUUGAUUGUUACAAAAUUACUACUCCGCUUGGAAACAAUCUCCUGCUAUGACACCCAUCACUUUUCCAUUUCCAGUUUGUUGUUUUUAUAAUAUCUUCUAUAUGUUUCAUCUUUGCUUAUCUUCCUUCUAAUAUGUGCCUUUAUUUACUGGCCAUUGUUUCCAUUUAAAAGAGCAAAUAAUUUUUGAAAAGAAGUCUGGAAUUUUUCCUCUUAUUAGUGUUUCCAAUAGCAUUAGCAAACAC